AAUAUUUUUGUAAAGGAAUAAAAUAUACUCUAAAUUCCUAUUAAAGUCGUCUGAGUAUUGUUUUAGUUAGUUUGAUAUACUAUUUUUGCAUUUAAAAGCUUAAAUUUCCCAGACGGUAAGCUAAAACCCCACGGUGUUUGGGUAUACAUUAUAAAUGCAUUUAUCAUCUUUAACAUGCGCGGUGCGUGUAACCGAACUGGUCGCGAACAUGCAGUAAAGAUAGGUGUUAGUCACAACCCGUAUACCCGGUACUCAGUCAGUGUAGCUGUGAAAAAAAAAACAACAAAAGCUGCUGGAUCCCAAUUCCGUGAUCUGGAAGAUAUGGUCACGCCUACGGAAUGGCGUUUUUAGUUUUCCUUUAUCUUCAUUGUAGCUUAGGGGGGUUUUUCGCCCUUUUGCAUGGACGGAUGGUGGCGGGGCUAAUUUUUGAAAUACACUGGUUUCAGUUUGAGCAUACAGAAGUAUGGAUGCAAAAUUGGCGGCUCUAGCUUUUAUAGUCUCUGAGAUCCAGGCGCUCAACACGAUGGACGAAUAGACGGACAGACAGACAGACAUAGACUGGGCUAUUGAAGCUGAUCAAGAAUAUAUAUACUUUAUGGGGUCGGAAACGUUUCCUUCUAUGCGUUACAUACAACCGUUAUUCGC
rnacentral:lncRNA from 1 species